rnacentral:tRNA from 1 species
GCGGGGUGGAGCAGCCCGGUAGCUCGUCAGGCUCAUAACCUGAAGGUCACAGGUUCAAAUCCUGUCCCCCGCA